rnacentral:lncRNA from 10 species
CGUCGCUUUCUAGUGUCUGUGGUGUCGGCGCUGCAGGAUGACGCGAGCCUCUCGCGUCCCUGGUUUUCUCGGUCGCAGCGUUGAGUUAUUGGGUGGAAAGAGACAGGGUGUCACUCUGUCGCUCAGGCUAGUGUGAAUUGGUGUGAUCAUAGCUCAUUGCAGCCUCGAACUCCUGGGCUCAAGCAAUCCUCCUGCCUCCGACUUCCCAGCAGCUAGGACUGCAGAAAGGAAAAAGGAAGAAGCAGAGGGUCAGCAGAUGUUGAAAGAGGUAUAAUCAAGCUCAUACUCCAUUAAACAGAAAGCAAACUAAGAGCUGGAGAGAUGAAGAGACUUGGUCAACAUCAUACAUGAACUAACUCCUGUUGUAUCAAAGGUCUUGAGAACUCUGGCCACCUGCCACUCAUCUGUGCUAUACCCAAUAGCAGCCUUAUUAGGCUUUUGGAUCCUAGAGUUGCUGCUAUCUCUCGUACCACAAAACCACCUGCUUCUGAUUCUCUAGGAAGACUGCUGAGAGUCAACAUCGAGCCACUGGUGAAAAUAAUGUCUUGGGAGCAUCUGAGAGUGCUUAU